rnacentral:rRNA from 1 species
GUGCCAGCCGCCGCGGUAAUACCGGCAGUCCGAGUGAUGACCGAUCUUAUUGGGCCUAAAGCGUCCGUAGCUGGCUGCGCAAGUCCGUCGGGAAAUCCACUCGCCCAACGAGUGGGCGUCCGACGGAAACUGCACGGCUUGGGACCGGGAGGCUCGAGAGGUACGUCCGGGGUAGGAGUGAAAUCCCGUAAUCCCGAACGGACCACCGAUGGCGAAAGCAUCUCGAGAAAACGGAUCCGACAGUGAGGGACGAAAGCUAGGGUCUCGAACCGGAUUAGAUACCCUGGUAGUCC